UUUUAAUGAUGAAAAUAACAGACCUGAUUUGAAAAAAAAUUUGAGAAUAUUUUUUCUACUUCUGAAAAAA
rfam:Plasmodium ovale curtisi genome assembly, contig: contig573